ensembl:lncRNA
UUUUUUUUUUUUUUUUUAAGGGUUUCAACUAUUGCUCAAAAAAAUCUGAAUAGGAUUUGUGCUAGGGAUCCCUCUAAAUACAUAGUAAGGAUGAGAUUGUACUGGGUUCAAUAGCCCUGGUUUCCAGUCUUUCAACACAAUACCAAUAAGCUUUGUACAUUCACCCACACUUGCAUAUUAUCAUCCCACUCCCCAGAGCAUACAACACAUACUCUCUGUUUCAUGCUGUGAAAAUACCAUGGCUGUAGGCUGCAACAGAGUCCACAUAUUAUUUUGGACCUUUUGAGCUGAAAAUAUCUCACUAAAUAUGAGAAUUAAGUCCCAGUCCCAGAGGAACAGCAUAUCAAAGCCUUAGCCCACCGUUAGUGGUAGGCUAUGUAGUGAGAGGACUGUCAGUCUAGGCUGUGGGGAGCCAGUCCAAAGCAUUGUAGACACAGUGCUGUUCAGAAGCACAUGCAUUCUUCUAGCACAAACUUCUUGUGUGAGUAUACACAUUUCGGUGUUAGAUGAGCUUUCAGGAGGUGUCUAUAUGUACAAAUGAAAUGGACGACCUGCCACAAGAAUGUUCACAUUUUGAGGGUUAACCUUCACUACCCAUUAGGAACUGUUCUUAGAAUAUUCCAUCUCCUGGCUCACAGUGACCCAGUCCAUGCCUUAUCAUUCUGUUCCUAACCAUACCACUACCUCUCUUACAUAACAGAAAUUCCCACUUGCCCUAACAAAUACUGUAGCACUCCUAGGUUGAUGGAUUUUGAACUAAAGGCAAAGUCUCACUGGGACAAAAGAGGAUAGGAAAACCAUCCAAAUAUUCUGUAAUUCAAUAUUCCAUAUAACAAAUGUACAAGUUUUACUUAUUACUAACUGCCACACAAUAACUUUGUGCUAUUGUCUGAAUGCAUCCUACUAACUUCAAAAAAAAUGUGUCAAGCACCUCUGUAGAGGUUGGUACUCAGAGAGAGGUCAACAGCUGCUUUGUCACCUGAGUGACAGAUGUCUAUGUCUGGGGAAUCUGAAGGUUCAGAAUUCACAUUAGACUAAUGGCCCACAAAGGAGGAGCCUCAUGGAUGUGCUGGAUUAUAUUCAAUUUUUUAUGUAAUGAGUUUAUUUUAUUCAAAGAAGGCAGCAAAUGAAAAUGAGAUUUCUACUUUAUCAUUAUAAAUCGUGGUGAAGAAUGCAAAGAAAUGCAGAUGGCUAACCUUUUUGUUAUUUCUCAAUCCAUUUGCUUAUUAGAGUUCAUCAUCUGUUAGUUUUAAAACAGACAGAUGAAAUCAGUUAAGUUGGCUUAUGAAGCUUGUAAUAGAGAUCACAUUUUGCUGAAGGGUUUACGUCAUGGAUGAUCCAGCCAGCAUAAAAGCUCAAUAGAAAGCAAGUUUAAAAGUUUUCAGACAGGUUAGAUGCAAAAUAAAUAAGAAUAUCUAAUAUUUGAAAAAAAGGGUAAUAUUUAAAUACUAAAUAGUUAAGUAGUUCUAGAAAAUCUCAUGACAGGUUAUCCACUAAAGAGUUAACAUUAAAUUACUGCACAUUAAUUUGAGUACCCUUCUGCCAAGCUAAACUUCUCCCACCUUCUAGUGAAAAAGAAUUUCCAUAUAGAAAUACCCUGCUUCCCCAGUUUCAUUUCAGAGAUAAAUAUUUCCUAAUGUGCAAAUGUCAUCCUGCACAGCUGAGAAAAAAACUAUAUAAAUUUUGCUUUAAGGAAUAAAACAUAUAUAAUGCUGCAAUAUAAAUAAAACUGAGUUAUUGUUGCUGUGGGAACCACAACUUUGAAUAUCUUCCCUAUUGUACAUUUAAAUUCUCUACCAUAAUGUUGCAUUAACUUUAUUUCUUUUUGCAUUACAUUUAUACCUAAUGUGAUUCCAUUUCCCUCCCUUUACAGAUGCAGAUUAGCUGCUGUAAUGUUCCUGAUGCAAAAACUGUUUUUGGUAAAUCGUAUCAAAAAUGCUUCAUGGAACUCACUGAGAAGUGUUGAUAUAUGGAAAUUGGUCUUUUUAAAAAUUUUCCCCCAAAAACCAAAUUGCAUAUUUUGAACAACUCCUCCUUUUCUAUCAUCACUUCCCAUAUUUCUGCAGAAUUAAAGGGAAUGGCACAUCUGUGACAUUUCAAAAGGAAAGUUCCCAUUACUGUUAAUCUAAUGCUUAUUCCAAAUACACUGUAUAGCAAGUCACAGUAAUCUAAACAAACAAAUAUAAGUGACAAAAGUUAACAACUUGCCAAAUUUAUCAGGUUUGCACUGAUAAAGAAUCUUUCCCGUGAACUGCAAAAAUUUUGGUAUAUAAAAAUCUGCGCAGUUUCAGACAGUAUUCAUAAGAAAAUAAUUUCAGACUGUAAUUCGCGACUGAUGAUUUAUGAAACAACAAUUGACUGUUAACAUAAUACUUUAUUUAAUGUGCUCAUUAAAACAUGUUGUGCGUUACAACUCUCACUGGAAACAUUCUCUUAUAUGUUAGAUAAAUCCUAUGGAAAUUGCCCCCUCUUUCUUUCUCUAGUUAUUUCCUAUCUUUUUUGAUAGGCUUUUUUCCAAUUCAGAACAAGAUAAUGAUAAAUUAAUUCUAGGUAAGAGUCAAAUAUUUUCAGGUACUACAUGGAGUAUUUUUUUAUAAUGAAUAUAAUUGUAAUUAUUGAGAUCAAGGUACUUAGGGACGAAUAGCGUAGGUUCCAAAGACAGUAUAAUAAAAGUGCCCAUUAAAAUCAAGGUAGAGCAUAGAUCGAUAGUACUUAAGAGACUGGUUGCUUUCAAACAACUCAGGGGAGAGAGGUAAAAUUAUAUCUAUACAUUAUAUUAUUUCAUUGAGCAGUACUGGUAACAAAAGUUGAGAGCACAGAACUAAAUCAGCUACUGCUUAUUUCCAACCAAAAUAUUUUUCCCUUAGAGAUCCUGCAAAGUUAAGUUACAGUGAAUACAAGGCACAGAG